rnacentral:lncRNA from 1 species
UAUAUCAUUAUAAUAGAUACAAUGACAGAAAAUUCUCUUUCUCUAUUUCAUUACUUUUUUACAUUAUUAUAUAAGUAUAUACAUAUAAUAUGUAAUUUUUGUAUUUUAUAGCUGGAUUGUAGUGGCCCUGCUUUCCAGACUCUGUAUGUAUCUACAUCAGCCACUGACAACCAUGUAUUAGACAAUCACUUCUAUUUAUGGUGGUUUCAAAACAGAUUCGUUGUGGUACAUUUGCAAAAGGAACAUGCGUAAGUCAGAGUCUCUCAGAGUGCGUUUGCGUCACACAUGUUCUAGUAAAUAUAAGUAAACCUGUGAAUUAAUAUUCACUCAUGUAUAUGCAUUAGAAAAGCAGAGCAGUGAGUUUCCCUCUGAUUCCCUGUGAUUUCAUUUCCAGAAUGAAGGUUUGGCAGGAGGCAAAUUAGCAUUAAAGAAAGGUCUUUGCUAGUGACUGUUCCCCAGCACCUCUAAAACUACUCUCUCUCUCUCUCCCUCUCUCUCUGUAAAUGAUCUUGUCCAUUAAUGGCUGUCUGGAACUCUGUCAGUUCACUUUGUCCUAAUGACACUCUCUCGUCUCAACAUCCUGCCCUGACUCCCGUCUCAACAUCCUGCCCUGAUCCCAGUGAUUUAAAACACACUCCACCGUACCCCAUCUUUAUUGUGGAAUAAAGCCUGAGAUACCUUUGCUCUCCCCGUCUGCAUCUGCGGCACAUCUGGAAGUGUGCGUCUAAAUAAUUGGAAGUCAAUUUGUUUGAAGUUAUGUUUUGGCAUCUGGUUCAAUUCAUUCGAUCUCUGGAAAUCACAUUCAGGGGUUUUAUAGCGCUGCCCCAGCUGGAGGCUUUUCAUCUCUUUGUGCUUCAACGUUAAUUCGCCGCUCUCUCCGGCCAGUGAUGUGGGACUUUGUGAAGUACUGCUGGGUGUGGUCCUAUAAACACAAAAUGGAGGCUCGGCCCCAGAGGAUUAUGGGAAGGCUGUGUAGAGAUGUGGCAGAGUCUGGUCAGUGGGGUUCACCUGGGGACGUUACGAACACCUUUAUAUCAAUUUACAGUCACCAAAAUCUGACUAAGACAAUCCAGAGGUUGUUCUGAAACAUGUUCUCAUUCUGUGUGAGAUCAGACCGUGGCACACAUGAGCAUCCCAGUCUGUUACCACCAUCUGCUGGUGACACACAGGACAGCGGACACAGAUUCAGCUCAGAACAGGUACAGUGACAGCAACACUACGUUUUCUAGGAUUUAUGUCCCAUAUCAGAGAAAUGAAAAUAUAUUGACCUAUAUGGCUGAAGAUGAUUGAAAAUAGAGGAUUUGGUCUAGUUUAGUGUCUGCUGCAUAACACAUUGCUGUGUGUGUAAUAUGAGUGCAUUUAAAAUGUUUUUUUUUUUUUUUUUAUGUUAUAGUAUUGAGUAUGUUUGCAUGUACAGUAUUUCAUAUAUACAGUAUCUCAGUAUCAUGUAGCAGACCAUUCAACCAGUGGAAUAAAAAUCGCAGAGUUGCACUGAGGGAUGUACUAGAGAUCUAGUAACUAGAUCUGGAC